rnacentral:rRNA from 1 species
UAGAUCAUCAUGCCUGGAAUGGCCGAUGGUUGAAAUGAUUUAUCGCCAUAGGAUGGGACUGCGAUCUAUCAGCUUGUUGGUGAGGUAAUGGCCCACCAAGGCUAUAACAGAUACGGGCUCUGAGAGGAGAAGCCCGGAGAUGGGUACUGAGACACGGACCCAGGCCCUAUGGGGCGCAGCAGGCGAGAAAACUUUGCAAUGUGCGAAAGCACGACAAGGUUAAUCCGAGUGGUUCCUGCUAAAGGAACCUUUUGCCGGUCCUAAAAACACCGGUGAAUAAGGGGUGGGCAAGUUCUGGUGUCAGCCGCCGCGGUAAAACCAGCACCUCAAGUGGUCAGGAGGAUUAUUGGGCCUAAAGCAUCCGUAGCCGGCUGUGUAAGUUUUCGGUUAAAUCCAUGCGCCCAACGUAUGGACUGCCGGGAAUACUGCACAGCUAGGGAGUGGGAGAGGUAGACGGUACUCGGUAGGGAGGGGUAAAAUCCACUGAUCUAUCGAUGACCACCUGUGGCGAAGGCGGUCUACUAGAACACGUCCGACGGUGAGGGAUGAAAGCUGGGGGAGCAAACCGGAUUAGAUACCCGGGUAGUCCCAGCUGUAAACAAUGCAAACUCAGUGAUGCGCUGGCUUAA